rnacentral:lncRNA from 1 species
UGCUAUAUGGUGGGUCGGUGUGGCAUUGAUGCUUUAUUAUGUCUAACACAUCACAAAUUCUAAUUAGAACAUGCCCUGUUUUUAUAAUACUAAAAUCCCAGUUUGUUUUUGCCAUUGAUGCUUUAUACAAUUAUUAUUUUUGCCAUUAUCUCCAUGAAUGCAAGAAUUCACCAGUGACCCUUUUAUCCUUUGUAGGAAUGACAUGCAAGAGAACCAGGAAGGAACCAUGAAGAUGGCAGUUUGCAUCAGCUAGACAUUUUGUGUAAUGGAGCAAAUACAAUGUGUCUUUUAGUUAUCGUUUUGUAAACCUAUAUGGUGUCUUGUCAACUGGGUAUUUUGUGUAAAGGAGCAAACAAUGAAUCGUCAGACAUGCAUCUAUCAUUUUGUAAACCAAUCAGGUGUCUUGGUGAUUGAAACAUAAAUGUUUCCUCCUUUCAAUUAGUUACUUUUACCUAUAAGAACAUUCUUCUUUGGUUGUGGUUUAAUAUUUUCAGAGUUCAUGCAAGUUUCCAUUGCAAUGAG